GAUGAACGCUGGCGGCGUGCCUAAUACAUGCAAGUCGAGCGAACGGACGAGAAGCUUGCUUCUCUGAUGUUAGCGGCGGACGGGUGAGUAACACGUGGAUAACCUACCUAUAAGACUGGGAUAACUUCGGGAAACCGGAGCUAAUACCGGAUAAUAUUUUGAACCGCAUGGUUCAAAAGUGAAAGACGGUCUUGCUGUCACUUAUAGAUGGAUCCGCGCUGCAUUAGCUAGUUGGUAAGGUAACGGCUUACCAAGGCAACGAUGCAUAGCCGACCUGAGAGGGUGAUCGGCCACACUGGAACUGAGACACGGUCCAGACUCCUACGGGAGGCAGCAGUAGGGAAUCUUCCGCAAUGGGCGAAAGCCUGACGGAGCAACGCCGCGUGAGUGAUGAAGGUCUUCGGAUCGUAAAACUCUGUUAUUAGGGAAGAACAUAUGUGUAAGUAACUGUGCACAUCUUGACGGUACCUAAUCAGAAAGCCACGGCUAACUACGUGCCAGCAGCCGCGGUAAUACGUAGGUGGCAAGCGUUAUCCGGAAUUAUUGGGCGUAAAGCGCGCGUAGGCGGUUUUUUAAGUCUGAUGUGAAAGCCCACGGCUCAACCGUGGAGGGUCAUUGGAAACUGGAAAACUUGAGUGCAGAAGAGGAAAGUGGAAUUCCAUGUGUAGCGGUGAAAUGCGCAGAGAUAUGGAGGAACACCAGUGGCGAAGGCGACUUUCUGGUCUGUAACUGACGCUGAUGUGCGAAAGCGUGGGGAUCAAACAGGAUUAGAUACCCUGGUAGUCCACGCCGUAAACGAUGAGUGCUAAGUGUUAGGGGGUUUCCGCCCCUUAGUGCUGCAGCUAACGCAUUAAGCACUCCGCCUGGGGAGUACGACCGCAAGGUUGAAACUCAAGGGAAUUGACGGGGACCCGCACAAGCGGUGGAGCAUGUGGUUUAAUUCGAAGCAACGCGAAGAACCUUACCAAAUCUUGACAUCCUUUGACAACUCUAGAGAUAGAGCCUUCCCCUUCGGGGGACAAAGUGACAGGUGGUGCAUGGUUGUCGUCAGCUCGUGUCGUGAGAUGUUGGGUUAAGUCCCGCAACGAGCGCAACCCUUAAGCUUAGUUGCCAUCAUUAAGUUGGGCACUCUAAGUUGACUGCCGGUGACAAACCGGAGGAAGGUGGGGAUGACGUCAAAUCAUCAUGCCCCUUAUGAUUUGGGCUACACACGUGCUACAAUGGACAAUACAAAGGGCAGCGAAACCGCGAGGUCAAGCAAAUCCCAUAAAGUUGUUCUCAGUUCGGAUUGUAGUCUGCAACUCGACUACAUGAAGCUGGAAUCGCUAGUAAUCGUAGAUCAGCAUGCUACGGUGAAUACGUUCCCGGGUCU
rnacentral:rRNA from 1 species